AUUGAACGCUAGCGGGAUGCCUUACACAUGCAAGUCGAACGGAGUGGCGGACGGGUGAGUAAUGUAUCGGAACGUGCCCAGUGGAGGGGGAUAACUACUCGAAAGGGUGGCUAAUACCGCAUACUAUUGGAGCGGCCGAUAUGGGAUUAGCUAGUUGGUGGGGUAACGGCUCACCAAGGCAACGAUCCUUAGCUGGUUUGAGAGGAGGACCAGCCACACUGGGACUGAGACACGGCCCAGACUCCUACGGGAGGCAGCAGUGGGGAAUUUUGGACAAUGGGGGAAACCCUGAUGCAGCCAUCCCGCGUGUAUGAUGAAGGCCUUCGGGUUGUAAAGUACUUUUGGCAGAGAGGCGGUAUCUGCAGAAGAAGCACCGGCUAACUACGUGCCAGCAGCCGCGGUAAUAC
rnacentral:rRNA from 1 species